rnacentral:rRNA from 1 species
GAUGAAUGCUGGCGGCAGGCCUAACACAUGCAAGUCGGACGGUAGCACAGAGGAGCUUGCUCCUUGGGUGACGAGUGGCGGACGGGUGAGUAAUGUCUGGGGAUCUGCCCGAUAGAGGGGGAUAACCACUGGAAACGGUGGCUAAUACCGCAUAACGUCGCAAGACCAAAGAGGGGGACCUUCGGGCCUCUCACUAUCGGAUGAACCCAGAUGGGAUUAGCUAGUAGGCGGGGUAAUGGCCCACCUAGGCGACGAUCCCUAGCUGGUCUGAGAGGAGGACCAGCCACACUGAAACUGAGACACGGUCCAGACUCCUACGGGAGUCAGCAGUGGGGAAUAUUGCACAAUGGGCGCAAGCCUGAUGCAGCCAUGCCGCGUGUAUGAAGAAGGCCUUCGGGUUGUAAAGUACUUUCAGCGGGGAGGAAGGCGGUGAGGUUAAUAACCUUGCCGAUUGACGUUACCCGCAGAAGAAGCACCGGCUAACUCCGUGCCAGCCGCCGCCGUAA